UUCCCUUUCGCUGAUGCAAGAGCCUAGUGUGGUGGUGGGAGAGGUAUCGGCAGAAGCAGCGCUGCUGCUGGGGCCUGGGGGUGACCCGUCUGACUUCCCGUCCGUGCCGAGCCCACUCGAGCCCCAGCCAUGUCUGGGGACGAGAUGAUUUUUGAUCCUACUAUGAGCAAGAAGAAAAAGAAGCAGCAGCAGCCUUUUAUGUUAGAUGAGGAAGGGGACACCCAAACAGGAAACCCAGCCGUCAGAAACAAAAGAACCGUGGAGCCAGGGCCAACUGAGGACAAAGAUUUGGAAGCUGAUGAAGAGGACACUAGGAAAAAAGAUGCUUCUGAUGAUCUAGAUGACCUGAACUUCUUUAAUCAAAAGAAAAAGAAGAAAAAACUAAAAAGAUAUUUGAUAUUGAUGAAGCUGAAGAAGGUGUAAAGGAUCUUAAGAUUGAAAGUGAUGUUCAAGAACCAACUGAACCAGAGGAUGACCUUGACAUUAUGCUUGGCAAUAAAAAGAAGAAAAAGAAGAAUGUUAAGUUCCCAGAUGAGGAUGAAAUACUAGAGCAAGAUGAAGCUCUAGAAGACGAAGACAGCAAAAAAGAUGAUGGUAUCUCAUUCAGUAAUCAGACAGGCCCUGCUUGGGCAGGCUCAGAAGGAGACUACACAUACGAGGAGCUGCUGAAUCGAGUAUUCAACAUCAUGAGGGAAAAGAAUCCAGAUAUGGUUGCUGGGGAGAAAAGGAAAUUUGUCAUGAAACCUCCACAGGUCAUCCGAGUAGGAACCAAGAAAACUUCUUUUGUCAACUUUACAGAUACCUGUAAACUAUUACAUCGUCAGCCCAAACAUCUCCUUGUAUUUUUGUUGGCUGAAUUGGGUACAAGUGGUUCUAUAGAUGGUAAUAACCAACUUGUAAUCAAAGGAAGAUUCCAACAGAAACAGAUAGAAAAUGUCUUGAGAAGAUAUAUCAAGGAAUAUGUCACUUGUCACACAUGCCGAUCACCAGACACAAUCCUACAGAAGGACACAUGACUCUAUUUCCUACAGUGCGAAACUUGUCAUUCUAGAUGUUCUGUUGCCAGCAUCAAAACCGGCUUCCACGCUGUCACGGGCAAGCAAGCACAGCUCCGUGCCAAAGCUAACUAA